rnacentral:rRNA from 1 species
GGCGAGCGAGCGGGAAGAGCUCAAAUUUAUAAUCUGGCACCUUCGGUGUCCGAGUUGUAAUCUCUAGAAAUGUUUUCCGCGUUGGACCGCACACAAGUCUGUUGGAAUACAGCGGCAUAGUGGUGAGACCCCCGUAUAUGGUGCGGACGCCCAGCGCUUUGUGAUACAUUUUCGAAGAGUCGAGUUGUUUGGGAAUGCAGCUCAAAUUGGGUGGUAAAUUCCAUCUAAAGCUAAAUAUUGGCGAGAGACCGAUAGCGAACAAGUACCGUGAGGGAAAGAUGAAAAGCACUUUGGAAAGAGAGUUAACAGUACGUGAAAUUGUUGGAAGGGAAACGCUUGAAGUCAGACUUGCUUGCUGAGCAAUCGGUUUGCAGGCCAGCAUCAGUUUUCCGGGAUGGAUAAUGGUAGAGAGAAGGUAGCAGUUUCGGCUGUGUUAUAGCUCUCUGCUGGAUACAUCUUGGGGGACUGAGGAACGCAGUGUGCCUUUGGCGGGGGUUUCGACCUCUUCACACUUAGGAUGCUGGUGGAAUGGCUUUAAACGACCCGUCUUGAA